UACGUAGGGGGCUAGCGUUGUCCGGAAUCAUUGGGCGUAAAGCGUGUGUAGGCGGGUCGUUAAGUGUCUUGUGAAAUCCCACCGCUCAACGGUGGAACCGCUGGGCAUACUGGCGAUCUUGAGCAGUCCAGGGGCGAGCGGAACAAGCGGUGGAGCGGUGAAAUGCGUAGAUAUCGCUUGGAACGCCGACGGUGAAAACAGCUCGCUGGGGACUCGCUGACGCUGAGACACGAAAGCCAGGGGAGCGAACGGG
rnacentral:rRNA from 1 species